rnacentral:tRNA from 1 species
GGGCCCGUAGCUCAGCUGGGAGAGCGCUUCCUUCGCAAGGAAGAGGCCGGGAGUUCGAUCCUCCUCGGGUCCA